rnacentral:lncRNA from 1 species
AAAAACUAAAUUAAUAUUUUAACUUUUUUUUUCUGUGAUUGUGUACGGAAUAAAGCAUAAGACUUUGGUUGAGUGGGAAAAAUAAAAUAAUUAAAGAAAAGAAAAAAAAAAUAAUUAAAGAAAAGAAAAAAAAAUAAAAGAAAUAAAGAAAUGGGUCUAUUUUCACUGUGGAGUUGGAUGCUGAAUUAUCUUCUUCCACACCCUUUUCAAUCUUUCAUCUAUUUGAAGUGACAAUCACUCAUUUGUUCCCCCUUUUAUAAUCACUAUUCUCAUUCUC